CCCGGCGUUCUCUUCACGUAUCACGUGCCUCGACGUCCUGUUUACCCCCCAGCGUGCUUUGCGGCAGCGUGAGAAUCAUGGCGGCCUGGUGAGAACGGAGCGAUAACGUAAGAAGUGACUGGAUUACCGGAGUAAAGAGAUGGCCGGGGAAUUGACUGACAAACGUGACCGUGAUGGGUCUCCAUCUAAGGACCGCAAGAGGUCCAGAUCUCGGUCUGCAGAGAGAGAUCGAGAUAGGAAAUCUUCUCCAUCGAAGGACCGAAAGAGACAUCGUUCUAGGGAAAGACGGCGAUCUCGCAGCCGUUCCCGUUCUCGUUCUAAAUCUCUUGAUAGGGAUAGAAGGCAAAAAGAUAGAAAGAAAGAUGGAGGUAGAGAGAAGGAUUCCCAUCGUCGUGACAAAGACAAGAAAAGAUCAAGAAGUCCAUCACCCAGUCGAACUAAAGAGCAAAAGCUGAAAAAAGAAAGAGACAUUAAAAAGGAGUCUGAGGAUGAUGCACAAGAGAAGAAAGCCAAGGCGCAACCCUUGUCUUUGGAAGAGCUGUUGGCUAAGAAGAAAAUGGAAGAAGAGGCUGAAUCUAAGCCAAAAUUCCUUUCCAAAGCGGAGCGGGAAGCAGAAGCUAUAAAACGCAGGCAUUUGGAAGUGGAAGAACGACAGAAGCUAAUGGAAGAGGAAAGGAAAAAAAGAAAGCAGUUUCAGGAUCUUGGAAGGCGGAUGAUGGAGGAUCCUCAGGAACGGGAGAGACGAGAGCGGAGAGAGAGAAUGGAGCGGGAAAAUAAUGGCAAUGAAGAAGAUGAGGGAAGAUUGAAAGUCAGAGAAGAAAAGGAUAAGACCAAAGAACUCCAGGCAAUAAAGGAACGUUACCUCGGUGGUAUAAAAAAGAGGAGACGCACUCGACAUUUGAAUGACAGAAAGUUUGUGUUUGAAUGGGAUGCGUCAGAGGACACCUCAAUUGACUACAACCCUAUAUAUAAAGAACGUCAUCAUGUUCAGCUUCUUGGUCGGGGAUUUAUUGCAGGUAUAGAUCUUAAACAACAGAAGCGUGAACAGUCCCGCUUUUAUGGUGAUCUUAUGGAAAAGAGAAGGACCUUAGAGGAGAAGGAGCAAGAAGAGGUGCGACUGAAAAAGCUGAGAAAGAAGGAAGCGAAGCAGCGCUGGGACGAUAGACACUGGUCUCAGAAGAAGCUUGAUGAAAUGACAGACAGAGACUGGCGUAUCUUCAGAGAGGACUACAGCAUUACCACCAAAGGUGGCAAAAUCCCCAACCCCAUCCGUUCCUGGAUUGAUUCCUCCUUACCACCACAUAUUCUGGAAGUUAUUGACAAAUGCGGAUACAAGGAGCCUACACCGAUUCAGAGACAAGCCAUUCCUAUUGGUCUACAGAAUCGUGACAUCAUUGGUGUGGCUGAGACUGGCAGUGGUAAAACUGCUGCUUUUCUCAUUCCCCUGUUGGUCUGGAUCACAACUCUGCCUAAAAUUGAUAGGAUUGAAGAGUCUGAUCAGGGACCAUAUGCAAUUAUUCUGGCUCCAACCAGAGAACUGGCUCAGCAGAUUGAAGAGGAAACAAUCAAGUUUGGGAAACCUCUGGGUAUUCGUACUGUAGCUGUCAUUGGUGGUAUUUCUCGUGAGGACCAGGGAUUCCGUUUACGAAUGGGCUGUGAGAUUGUGAUUGCCACUCCUGGACGUCUGAUCGAUGUACUAGAAAACCGCUACCUGGUCUUGAGCAGAUGCACAUACGUGGUACUGGAUGAAGCUGACCGUAUGAUUGACAUGGGUUUUGAACCAGAUGUCCAGAAAAUCUUAGAACAUAUGCCAGUCACCAACCAGAAGCCUGAUACAGAUGAGGCAGAAGAUCCAGAGAAAAUGAUUGCCAACUUUGAGUCUGGAAAGCACAAAUACAGACAGACUGUCAUGUUUACCGCGACCAUGCCUCCGGCUGUAGAGAGGCUGGCCAGGAGCUAUCUCCGUCGUCCUGCAGUGGUGUACAUCGGCUCUGCUGGUAAACCACAUGAGAGAGUUGAACAGAAGGUGUUCCUCAUGUCUGAAGGAGAGAAGAGGAAGAAACUGCUCAACAUCCUGGAGAAAGGCUUUGAUCCACCAAUUAUUAUCUUUGUCAACCAGAAGAAAGGUUGUGAUGUACUCGCCAAGUCCCUGGAGAAGAUGGGGUACAAUGCUUGUACGCUACAUGGUGGUAAAGGACAAGAGCAGAGAGAAUUUGCCCUGUCUAAUCUUAAGGCUGGAGCUAAGGAUAUACUGGUAGCUACAGAUGUGGCUGGUCGAGGUAUCGAUAUUCAUGAUGUCUCCAUGGUUGUCAACUAUGAUAUGGCUAAAAAUAUUGAAGACUAUAUCCAUCGUAUUGGUAGAACUGGAAGAGCUGGUAAGAGUGGUGUUGCCAUCACAUUCCUCACCAGAGAAGACUCAUCUGUUUUCUAUGACCUUAAGCAAGCUAUCCUUGAAAGUCCUGUUUCUACUUGUCCACCGGAGCUGGCCAACCAUCCAGACGCCCAGCAUAAGCCUGGUACCAUCCUCACAAAGAAGAGAAGGGAAGAGACCAUCUUUGCUUGAGUCGUGCCUGGGGGCACCAAAAGGCUGGUCUUUGGCACUUGACUUCUCUUUCCAGAUUUUAUAUAUAAUUUGUGCUGAACAUUAGAAACUUAAGGGAAAUUGUCACCAGUGACUGCUUUACAUGUUAGGAGAUCAGAAGGGCUUCUAUUGAUACAAUACGGCGAAUGUCACGACCUCUAUGUUUUGACCAAUAUUAGUAACCCUAGGGACAUAAAUUACGGUUCCUCUCAGGUGAAACAUCCAUUCUUUUCUUUUAACUUUAUAGGAAUUUGUCUGCAGGUCAUUCUUGGUAUGAAUAAUGUGUAGUAUAGUGCGCUUUGUACAUCACAUAAACCACAGAUGUUAUUUGCUUCCACUCUUCACCUGAACUGGAGGAUUGUUCUUGGGAAUACCGUAUUUUUCGCCCUAUAGGACGCUCCGGCAUAUAAGACGCACCCAAUUUUAAAUGAGGAAAAUCUAGAAUACAAUGUAAAGUAUAGGACAGUGGUCCGCAGGUUGAAGACCACUGGUAUAAGAGGUAAUACUCACGUGUCCCCGCCGCUCCGGACCAUCACUGCUCGUCACCGCUGCCCUGGAUGUCGCCCUCCAUCGCUGUGGCCACGUCCCGCGGGUGUCCCUGUCGCUCCAGAACGUCUCUGCUGCCUGGUAUCCUCACUCUCCGUCGCCGCCAUCACGUCGCUACGCACGCCGCUCCUAUUGGAUGAUGGGGCGGCGUGCGUGACGACAUUAUGACGACUAAGGAGAGCGCCGGCCAUGCAGGGGAUCCCGGCACGGAGCAGACACUGAGGAGGCAGGUAAUUGUCCCUCCCGGUGCAGCCGGGUUAGUGUCACUUUUGCGUCAGACGCGGCGGUCAGCUUUGAUCGCCGCGUCUGAAGGGUUAAUACAGGGCAUCACCGCGAUCGGUGAUGUCCUGUAUUAGCCACGGGUCCCGGCCGUUGAUGGCCGCCGGGACCGACCCGAUAGGUGUGUAUUCACCGUAUAAGACGCACCAACUCCAGUUUGGGGGAAGAAAAAGUGCGUCUUAUACGGCAAAAAAUACGGUAACACUCUCACCAUGGGCCUAGACCGCACUGACUAAUCUUUUGGGCCACUAUCUACUUGAGCUCUCCCAAUUGUAUAUUUUUGAUAUUUUGAUUGUCUUGUUAGUCAAAAUAUAAUUUUCUUGCUUGAUUUUUAUUUUUUUUAAACAAGAAUAUUUUCAUCUUUUUAGUCUUGCAUUUUCAGACAUUUGGGCUUUGUAAGGCUAAAUCAGUGGUCUUCAAACUGUUGCCCUCCACAUCUUGCACAACUACAACUCCCAGCAUCUGAAGGGAUACAAUUUGAAGACCACUGGGAUAAAUUAGCACAUGGCAUUUGUUUUACCUGCUACUGUGUGCAAGUAAAAACCAUAGAGCAUUACUGUAACCGUAAGGCGAAUGAGAUUGAAAGUAUAUCAUCCGCACACUGCAGAAUCUUCUGUGCCGAAAUAGGAGCAUAUUGGGGAUUUUAAUUAUUUUUUAGGCAAUUGUUCAAUUUUCCUUUUUUAUUUAACAUUUUUCUCUCAUUUUGUUUGUCCUGUAACUUGCAAAGAUCUCCGGCUAUGUUCACAUCAGCGUUAUGGAGCUCCGUUACAGACUCUAAUAAUGGGGCUUGACGGAGCUUGUCACAGCAGACCUCAAUGGAUUCAGACAGGUUCAAUUGACUUUGAAUGGGGUCCUUUCCGUUUUGUCCUUUAUUUUGCAGGAUUUUAGUGGAGAAAAAAAAAGCCUAAUUAUCAUAACAGAAUCGGCAAACUGAGUUCCCUAACGGAGCUGAUUUGAAUGAGGCCUUAUGCAUAUAAUCUGCAACCAUACUGGCAUUAUUGUUAUAGCAACACAACAAAUCGAAAAUCCAUUUCAGGUUGUUCUUUCCAGUGUAAUGCCGAAUUGCAUGUUUAUUACAUUAUGCAGGCAGGUGCCAUUUUAUGUGUUGACGACAAUAUAGGGCAGGGUUUCUUAACCAGGGCGUCUUCAGCUGUUGCAAAA